AUGAUCUUCAUGGAAGCGGGUUGUUGCUCCAAGGGAAAGGUACCAGAUCUUGAUGUGGCUAUGGAUCACAAAGCUGAGGAUUGUAGUAACUCAUGCUUGUUUUUUUGUUUUGCUAAAACGGUUUCUGUUACAGCACUUUGGCUUUAUUAUGUAUUAAUAAUAACAAGCGAUGUUUGGACUUGCCUCUGCCAAGUUUGCUGCAUUCCUUCCUGCCACUAA
rnacentral:rRNA from 1 species